AACCCCAUGUUCACUUUGCCACCGCGACAGUUGGUGUCCACUGUGGUCAUUCAUGUGGGGGAAAUCACUCCGACCUCCAGCAUCCUCGGCCUCGACCGCCCUGUUGGAGCAGAGGCGCUGGCGGGGUUACAACAAAU
rnacentral:snoRNA from 1 species